rnacentral:rRNA from 1 species
AUGCGUGAAGCGCUCGGACCUCAAGGAGGAGAAAAACGCGAAGAGGUUCAAAUUGUUGAUGGAGGCGACGGACAAGAAGCUCAAGCUCGAAGAGAGGAGGACGACGAUCGAAGAGAAGAAGACCACGCUCGAGGAAAAGAAGAUGAAAUUGCUGCUAAUGCGGAGGUCGCCAAGAUAUUGUCCUUGAAUGUGGCCUCUUUGGAUGCCGACGCAAGAAUGAUCUUGCAAUCCGUCUGCUACCAGAUGUUGCAGCAGAAGAAAGAUGAGUUGAUAGCGGCGAACAAUGAGAAGGCGGUGGAGGCUGCCUAUGAAGGAAAUAUGCCCUAG